UUAUGGAGUCCUGUGUGUGAUUUUCUUUGGGACUUGCCGGCUGUGAGGUACCGAGUGAGACAGAUACCCCAACAAGCCGGCCCCUCAUGUUACACCAUAUGGGGCCUGGGUUGUGAGGGCUCAGUUCUACAGGACACCAAGCCUCCUGUUUGCAGGGGACACAGGGGUUUCCUGGAUGUGAGGCUGCUAAUUUUUCAGGGAAGAGCCUGAAAAACCAGAGGGUGGUCUUGCUGCUAAGCCACACAUAGUGGCAUAUGGUCCCAAAUUGGUCAGUUUGGGGUCAGAGGAAAGAGAUGCUCUCUGGUAGGACACUCUGCCUGAUAUUCCAGGACAGGAACACACGGGACCAUAGGCUGUGACCCCCAGGCCCUGGGGUGUAUUGGUGGUCAGAAGAUGAGUUCUGAAAGGCCAAGGUCCUAAGGGAAGUCAUGUGGUAGCUACUGCUGUCUGUUUUACCUCUGUGGUGGCAUGUGUCACACAUGUCUCUGCCCUUAGGGAGAGUCAUUCAGUCCAGCUACAGAGCAAGGGUGAUUGCACAGGGCAGAGCUGUGCCAAUGAGGUAGUUUUUGGCACCUCACAGAGCCCUCAGAUCUUUUUUAAAAACACUUGUCUCUGGGACAGAAAGGUGAACUUCUUGCAGAAACCAUGCUAGGUGCAGGGUGAGGACCUGGUGUGGACAGACUGCAGCUAGCAGCGGGGACCCCGGGGAAUGCUGGGGCAUGCGACAACAGGUCUGUCUGUCCUUCCAUAGCUUUUUCUGCUAAAUGUUUACAGGCUGAGUGGCUCCUGCCAUAGAUACAGAUGGCCUGGGGCUGAUCUUCUGAGGUCAGAAGGUAGAGCUGGGGUUGGCACGUGUGGCUGACCCACUGUAGAAGCUUCCUCCUGAGGGGGCAGCUGGAGGUGGUAGUUGGUAUCAGGAAGUUCAUCAAGUCUGGUGACAUCCUCAGGAUGGGUCUUCGAGCAGACUCACCUGGCUACUGGGUAUAUCCAGCUUACUGAGCAUGAGAAGCAAUGCCAUCUCUGACAGCAAGGAUUUCUCAGUGUCCGGAUCUGUCUAGAAACACUGGAAAUGGGAGGUAGGUACAGUUGGGGAACCUGGGAAACAAUUUGAAAAUGUGACUUUAUCACUGGUAUGGACUCGUAGAUCCAGGCACUUGCAGCAGGGGAGACUGAUGGGCUCGGAAUCCUGGGUACGUGACUCACAAGGAAGCCUCGCACUAUCAAGUCUCAUUUUUAAAGCCUGUCAGGAGGCCACCAGGCGCAGCAAUGAGAAGCCAAAUGACUUCCAGUUAGUUUAACUUUCCUUUUCUCCUUAUCGCUCAAAAUCAAACAUCCAAAAAGACACCCCAAUUGGCCCGAGGCCUGAACACGAUGUAUUAUAAGAAACCUCUCUCAUAGGUAUCAGGAGGCCCAGACGAGGUUCUGCCAGGAAGCCAGGAGGAAGCCGAGCGCUGGAAACACACGGAGAUUCUGGGGCCUUGCACACAGAGCUGGUGGGAAGAUGACAUGGGGCCCUGCCAUAGAAAAUACUCUGUGUGCCACAUGCAAAGAUAUGGUGUGUAGCUCAGCGGUCGAGUGCUCAUAUAGCACACGCAAAGAGAUAACUGUUUGUGGGGACACUGAACCACCUGUUUCUGAGGGCCCCAGGGUGACCUUUGAUGCUGAUGAUUGUGGUUGCCUGAAGACCCAGGUACCACAGAUCCACUGGAGGGAAUUGGCCUCUCCUUCAGGAAGGAUGCUGUGCCACAGGCACUUCCACAGUGAGUUCUGGUACCGGUCCUGCAUUGCUGACUUUCACAUUUCCAACCUAUACCCAGCAGUACGUGACCAUGCGGGGGGUGAGUGAAUGUCUCCGGUUGCUAGGCAUCUUCCACCACAGGCAGAUGAGUGGUGGUGUUAAGGGCAAUGAGUGAGUCAAUCGAGGAUGUGGUGGUUUGACUCCGUAUGGCUCCUAAGACACCUGUGUGUGAAUACUUGGCCCACAGAGUGUGGCGCUAACAAAAGGUGUGGCCCUGUUGGAAGAAGUGAGUCACUUGGGGGCAGGCGUUGAAGUCUCAUAUACUCAAGCUGUGCCCAGUGUGAUAAACAGUCUCUCCCUGCUGCCUGUGGAUCAAGGUGUAGAACUCUUAGCUCCUUCUCUGACACCAUGUCUGUCUGCAUGCAGCUAUGCUUUCUACCUUGAUGAUCAUGGACUAAACCUCUGAACUGCAAGCUACCCCUAUUUAAUGUUUUUCUUUAUAAGAGGUGCCAUGGUCACAUUUUGUCUUCCAGGAUGCUCUCUGCUCCCACUGAGCCAGAGGUGCAGGUUCCCGCAGGUGAGGCUGUGUACACAGGCAAGUCACAUGUCUAAACUGGGUGGCCAGCAAGCAGUCAUCACCCGCUGCUGGUCCUGGUCCUGCCUUUUCUUCCUCCUUCCUCAUCUCAUAUGACACUUCCUCUUCCGUCUGUGUGCUGGUUGACAUCUGAAGGGUUACCCUUCCCACUGCUCCGACCAUCUGACCACAUAGGACCUCACUGGCUGGCUACCUCCACUCACACAUACUUCAGCUAGAGUCUGAUUGCUGAGAGAGACGCUAACGAGAAAGUUCCUGAGUGGGAACCCAGAACAAAACAACACAGGCAAAACCCGUGGCCAUGGGGUUGUGUAGCUGCCUGGCUGCCUCUGCCUGGGCCUUAGAUACUGAAGAGCAGAGGUAACUAUAGGUCAGGGCUGGGGACAUUUGAGUGAGGUAUCCUCAGAUGUUUGUUUGCCUGGGUUCUGACUGUGUCAGGGGCUCUACUCUCGGGUCUUGCAGUUCCUAUAUCUUCUGCCAGUGUCUUGUUCUUUGUCUUUGGGGGUUUAGAGACCUCUUCCUUAAAUGCCCUUAGUGAGCUUCGUUAGAAAUGCUCUCUCAAGGGACCAAAGUGUUUGCUGUCACUGGGACCACAGAUACCCUGACCUGUACCCCUCCAUCACCUCACCUGGUUAUACCUAAUCUGGAGUGUUUCUUUAUAGAGGCAUCAACUGGUGAGAACUGCAGAGGUGGACAGGACAUGUCCUGUUUUGGCUAGCACUUCUGGCCAAGAACCCAGGCUUGGGCCUGGCAGAGAGAUAGGGAAGACAGUCCAUGAAGGAUUAGGAUCUAUUUGGGUGGCCACCUCUCCAAGCGUUCCUCUGGCUUUGGAGCUAAGGCUGGGAAAGACAUAUCAAGGGCAUUGUUAACAUAACCAGGAUGACUUCUACUGACUACAAGUGGAACUUUUUGAUUAAUACUAAUCAUAUUAAUGUUCUUACUUGUAUAUGUGGAGAAAUACUUGAGAGUACAGGUGGCUUUUCUUCUAAUUUAUUCUAAAUAGACAGAAAUGAAAAUGGGUGUUCUCGGCCACUUCCUACCAUCCACAGAAAAGCCCAGAGCCCUGUGGACAUCUGAGGGGAGGGAAGGGACAGCAAGAUUUGUUGGGUGCCACUGGGUCAGCUAGUGCUAAGCCUCAUCCCCACCACCAUCUGUGCACACAGACUGAUACGGCUGAGAGUUAGAAGCUCUGUGGGACACCCUUCACCCCAAGUGUGGGUCCUGGCCGGUGGCUCUGCAUACUGAGAUGGCAUAAAAGGCUUCUUUGUUUCCUAAGAUGGGCAGGCCUCCAUCCUGGACCACAGGCUCCGUUUCAGUGACUGUGAGGAUCUGUCAAGGGAAUGUUUCCACAGGAAAUCACCUCUCUCCACCCUACCAUGCCUCAAGCAGCAUUGUACAUGCGGCCACGGCCACAUGGGUGGGAGUCCCAGGCACAGUUCCUGCAUGUCCCAGGUGUCCAUUCAAAACACAGAAUGGAGAAACUCAGCAAGGGACAUGUCACAUCACAAGUGGCUACCAUCCCUGAUGGACACUGUCAAGUAUUAGCAAAAAUAUGGAGAGACUGUAGCCCUUACUGUGGGAGAGUCAAAUGGUCAGCCACCAUGGAACAUGGCUUGAAAAUCCCCUGUGAAAAGGUAACCCCAGAGCUGGCACAAGAGCCACUGCCAAGGAUGUACCCGGCAGGGAUGAAGACACCUGGCCACCUAACAGCUUUUACAAGGCGGACAGAACAAUACAGGUCACAUUUGCCAGUAACAACAGCUUGGAUAUCCAUCGAUGGAGGAAUGGAAAAUGGCUACAGAAAGCUAUUUGACCCUCACAAGACACUUAGCGGAUACGGUGGCUGAACUGUGAAGUCUUAUGACAAGCAGAGAAGGUUUAGUUAUGAGUCUGUCACAGGAGGGCUUCUCCUAUAUGAAACAUUUGCCCUGGCCAAUCCGGAGACAGAAUAAUAAACUGGACACUUCCAGGGACAGAAGGAGGCUCAAACUCGGGUCCCUAUAUUGAUGCAGCAAACACUUACAUCUGAGCUAUGACUGAAGUCCCAAUCUGCAGACUUAGGCUGUUAGGAGCUGGGGCUUUUUUGAGGAAGAAGUCCGCUGAGCUAUGCCUUUGGCAGGAAGAUCUCAUCCUCAUUUCUUCCUGUGUUCCUCCGCUUCCUGGACACUACAAAGUGAACAGCUUUGUUAUGUAGUUCCUCUCUGACGCUCUGCCCCAUCAGCCGCCCAAAAGCAGGGAAGAGGCCAGCUGGGCAUGGGUCUGAGCCCUUUGCAACUGUGAGCCAAAUAAAUACUCCCUCUUUUAA